CAGCUGAUGAGUCCCAAACAGGACGAAACGAGAGUCCUG
rnacentral:hammerhead_ribozyme from 1 species